AGCUGUUGUUUUAGGACCAUGGGCCCUGGGGCCCAGGACAGCAGGAAGGCGGGUCCCAGUCUCCUUCUGAUGGCUCCAUCUGCACUGGAAACAGAAUUUUAACACUGGCCUAAAGGAUGGUGAGAAAUGAACUCCUGGUUGCCGACCAGACUUCCCCUUCUCAUCCCGACGACGCGGGACAUAGGGUAGACGGUCCCAAUGCCGACGAGCAGUAGGAGGACCAGCACAGGAGCUUGCAAGCAAGAGCCCAGAGCAAGAGCCCCUCUCCCCUGGUGUCCAAGGAUGGUUCUGCUGACCCAAGGGAGGAACACAAGAAGGGAAGCUUGAGAUGCUACAAACAACAAAAUGGCACCCUGUGUGCAAAUCCUGGUGAGUGCACUUGUGGGUGCUGCAGCCACAGGCUCUGGAAGACACCCCUGCCUGGGCGAGCCAUCCAGUCCUUCUCUUGCUGUUGGGGCCUGGAUGCUCCAGCAGGGGCAUUGGGCUGGGGUGACUCUUCUUUGCUCUGACUUGAUGUGAGCCCAGUGGCUGCUUUGGAAGUGUCACCCUCAGGGGGUUUUGGUUGGCCUAAGAAUCAAUAUUUAUAGGGUGUCCUGCAUUGUGUGUUUUCUAUUUGUAAUUCUCAAGCAUGGCUCCCAUUUCACUUAGUAUCCAAAGGAGUAAGAAAUCCUCACGUUGGAUUCCAUGAACCUAGGAACCCCAGUGUCUUCUGAACAGCCUUUUCCUCUUUGUGUUCCCAGCACACAAACUGUUAGAAAGAUUUAUGUUAGAAUCCACCCAGCAUCUGCUACCCAGAGCCUAAUUUUGCCCUCCCUCUGAACUGAAUUUUUAAGUUUUAAGUCAAAUACUCGCUGAUGUUUGCGCUUCCCCACUUCAUGCAUAUUCUUCACCUGAGCCCCUGCACCUGGGGAGCAAACCCCUGUCCUGGAGGAAGCCUGAUGCGCCACCUCCAUUGUUAGAAAGCUCCCUCAGGCUGACGUAACCCU
rnacentral:lncRNA from 1 species